CCAAAUCAAUUCCUCUAAUAGCAAAAAGAAACGAUCGCAGAGAGUGAACGGUGCAUUUUAGUCCACCGAUGGGAGGUAUAAAUCGGUGACUUGGGAGAAGAUGGAAGCUUCUCCUUGCACUUUCCAUAUGAGACUUUCGAUUAAACUGGUGACAUAGGCGUUGCCCUUGAAGUCAACAGUGAUGGGGUUGGCGAUCUAUCGAGUUCAAUUGUCGAUUUCGGUGGGAAGUGUGGAGAGGAAGAUGUGGCAGCAGGGGGAAACAAUCGAAGGUCUUUUUGGCUGGUACAUUUUGCAAGUGGGGAAACAAGGGAAGUUCUUUUUUUUUUUUUUAAUUCUUUUUUUUUUUUUUAUUGUUUUUGCUUUCUUAGAAGAGAUUACGAUUCUGAGGCAGUUAGAUUCAACGAAGAAAACAAAAGAAGAAGGAGGAGCAGAGAAUAAAGAUUAAACUGUGUGUUUUACUUUUUGUGUUUUAUAAAUAUUUUUCUCUCAAAAUAAUUCCAAAAUUUAGAAUAAAAAGGAAAAAAAUAAAAAAAAAAAUCAUUUUUUUGGUCACGUGAAUAGCACGUGACCAAUAUUAGAUGAAAUUUGUUAAGAGCUUUAACAUAUUUGAAAAUAGAGGGUAUUAAAUAUUAAUUUUUUUUUUUUUUACAGCUUCUUAAAUAAAAAUCAAUGAAAAUAAAGGAUAUUAAAAUACAUUAUACCCAUAUACUAAAUAUUAGGUACUACUUAAAUUGUCCAUAAAAACAAAAAGAGAGCCAAAAAAAUACAAAAAAUACUCGGAUAAUAAUAUAUGGAUAAAGCCAAAUAUUUAUAGACUGCCCCUUGUCUCAUGUAUUUAAAUGCGGUUCGUCUCGUAUAGCUUGAUUAUAACCUCUUUGUCAAGUUUUAUCAAAAUAAACAAAUAAAACCUUCUCAUUAAGUUCAUAAAUUUGAACCAUCCACUAUAGGAUCUUUUAUAUGUAUAUAUAUAUAGUUGUAUUUACUAGUGUUUUAAUUCUUAUGAACAUGUUGGGAUGAAGUUCUUAAUAAUAAAUGCAUUCAGUACAUUAUUAGAGCUUUUUUUUUUUUUCUUUUUUCUUUUCUGUAUUUGUUGCAGAUUAAUUAUGGUAAUCUUAAUAAUGCUGAAUAUUUUUUUUUCUCUCAGAAUCAGAAUUCUGUAUUGGUGUAUUUGAUGACCAUUUUGUUAAUGGACUUAUUAUAAAAUUGUGUGACAGAACUGCAGAGCUGCAGGAAGCUCAGACAGAGUUGAUCAAUUUAAGUGAUAUGAUAAAAAACAACUUUCGAAGUUAAUGGAUGGAAUUAUUGAAGAAUUGAGAGUAAAAAAAGAAAAGGUGGGAGAAAAGGAAUAUGAAAUUUACCGAAAAGAAGAACUUUUGAAGAAUAAGGAUGCAAUUAUUGGAGAUUUAGGUUGAAAAAGUAAAGAUGCAACUGAAGAUGCACCAGCUUUGAACCAUAGUGUAGUUAUCAAACAGAGCAAGAACAAUGAUGAGCUGCAGGACGCUCGUAAAGAGUUGAUUAAUAGCAUGGAAGAACUCAACAGCAAACCAUUCUAUGAAGCACUGAAGUGAAAGUAUAAUGAGAUAGAGGCAGAAGUUGCCAAGGUUGAAGGAAUGCUAUAUGAAGGGAAUUAUAGUCGAUAAGGGUGAAAAAUUGAAAGUUCUCAAGGAGGAAAUGGGCGAUGAAGUGUACGAUGCAGUGACAAUAGCUUUAGCUGAUAUAUAGGAAUACAAUCCUAGUGGGAGGUACAUAAUCUCAGAAUUUGUGGAACUUUAGAGAAGGGCCAGAGGCUACUUUGAAAGGAGUGGAAUUUUUUCUAAAGAAAUUGUGAAUAAGAAAGCGCCGGAUGUUGGUUUUGAAGGUUGGUAUAAAGUCACAAAAACCAUAUAUUAUUUUGUCAGCCUGUUUUUAUUUGUCCUGCAGUAGAUAACUUUUAUAGAGAUCUUUAUGAGUAGCAAUUUAAGGUGAUUUGACUUAUCUGAUAUAUUUUGGUACCGGAGGAUGACAAUAUUGUGAUUUGGGAUGCUGAAGUAGACCGAACUAUUUUAAGUUUGGCCGGUGAAUUUUAAAAUAACCGAUCCAAUCUUGGUUAGCAAAGGGUAAAGGGCAUUUAUGUUAGACUGAGACAAUUAUGGUAGCAGGACUGCCAUUCUAGUUUUCGUCUUUUUAAAAUAUCUCUACACUGAAA